CCCUUAGAUGUCCUGGGCUGCACGCGCGCUACACUGAUGUGUCCAGUAAGCACCUAACCUCUUCCGAAAGGAACGGGUAACCUUUGCAAAGCACAUCGUGAUGGGGAUAGAUUAUUGCAAUUAUUAGUCUUGAACGAGGAAUUCCUAGUAAGCACAAGUCAUCAGCUUGUGUUGAUUACGUCCCUGCCCUUUGUACACACCGCCCGUCGCUCCUACCGAUUGAAUGUUCCGGUGAGCUCUUCGGACUGCGCGGUCUGCAGUUUCUGCGUUCCGUGCGGAAAGUUGAGCAAACCUUAACAUUUAGAGGAAGGAGAAGUCGUAACA
rnacentral:rRNA from 1 species